GACGACAGCUCCCUCCUCCUCCCGCCUCCCGCUGUCGAUCAGACGCCGACGACCUCCCGCCUCCCGCUGUCGAGACCGACGCCGACGACCUCCCGCCUCCCGCUGUCGAGACUGACGCCGACGACAGCCCCCUCCUCCUCCCGCCUCCCGCUGUAGAGACCGCUAACGUGCAAAUGUUGUACAGUUUCUUUGAUGGCGAAUUCUGACUUCCACAUUCAUUCUUUUCUCUUUAUUCGGUGAAUUGGAGUCACAGAGUUAAGAAGUAGUUGUUGAAAAAAUAUGAGUUUUUUUGGUUAUUUUCAUGUUAAUUUGAAAGAUUCUUCUAAUUUCUAAAUAGUUUCAGAGAAUUUGUGGGUAGAAGCAAAGAUCUUUGCAACUCAGGACUCAAUCAAAGAAUAUACUUCUCUUCACAAUCAAUACCCAAUUUAGGGAUAUUCUUAUUAAUAAAGGAUAUCACUUCAUAAAACAUGAAGUAAUAAUUUCCCUGUUUUUAUCUUGUAUGCAGAAGUUGAUACAGUAAACAAAGACAAUGUUCUUGCAAGAGUGAAGAACAUGACGAUAGAAGGCUACAGAACUAGCAACUGGAAUAGCUCGGCCAUAGCGACAAGAGGCGUUGAGGAUAUAGAUCCUAUUGAUGGUAUCGGCAUGGAGGAUCCUGGGAAAGAAUUAAACAGCAAAGAUAUAAUACUUCAGUAUUCUGUCAACUAUGGAAAAGUGGUGCUGUAUCGAAGUGUUAAAGAUGGGAAUCAAUAUGCAUGAAAAAGUGAUAAUUUUGGUCUUUGCAAUGCAGAGCAGAAGUAUCUUCAUUGUUUAGGAGGAAGUAACAGCUGCUCUUAUCCCUCCUUAAUCAAAGAGAAGCAAUGCAAGUAUUGGAUAGCCACUCUUUCUCUUUCGGCAACAAAA